GUGAGGAAUAUUGGUCAAUGGGCGCAAGCCUGAACCAGCCAUGCCGCGUGCAGGAUGACGGCUCUAUGAGUUGUAAACUGCUUUUGUACGAGAAUAACGGUGUUUACGUGUAGACAUAUGAAUGUAUCGUACGAAUAAGGAUCGGCUAACUCCGUGCCAGCAGCCGCGGUAAUACGGAGGAUUCGAGCGUUAUCCGGAUUUAUUGGGUUUAAAGGGUGCGUAGGCGGUUAGGUAAGUUAGAGGUGAAAGGUCAGGGCUUAACCCUGGGACUGCCUCUGAUACUGUCUGACUGGAGAAUAGAUGCAGCAGGCGGAAUGAGUAGUGUAGCGGUGAAAUGCUUAGAUAUUACUCAGAACACCGAUUGCGAAGGCAGCUUGCUAAUCUAUGUCUGACGCUGAUGCACGAAAGCGUGGGUAGCGAACAGGAUUAGAAACCCUGGUAGUCC
rnacentral:rRNA from 1 species